ensembl:lincRNA
CCUGGGGGUCAGUGUGUCUGCAGGUGUCCAGUCCUGGUCCUGGGUGGUCAGUGUGUCUGCAGGGUGUCCAGUCCUGGUCCUGAGGUUGUCAAUUAACUACAUUACAAAGGGAGAUUGGGCUUUCUCUAUCAGAGCCCCUAGAAUCUGGAACAGUCUUCCUUUAAAAUUAGGACAGCAAAUGGGUUUCUAAAUGAGAUUUAAAAGACUAAAACCAAUUUUUAUAGGCUUGAGGCAAUAGUGUUAAAAAUACUGAUUUUGAUCUUUGUCAGAUACACCCAUGUUGCCUAGUGCACAGUCUUGUUCAGAUUUUGUCCAUGUUAAGAGUGGGACUAAAGUACAUUAUCUUUUGCAUUUGUAUCAUGUGCUGGUUCCUUAUCAUAUUCUGUGCGUGUUGAUAAUGUUAAGAACUGCAGCAAUAUGUCCGCUGUGUAUGUGCGUUUCCUUGUUUUAAUCAGGAUUGUUAGUACGUUUCUUAAAUUUACCUCCUAACAAUGCAUUCAUUUUAUUAGUGUUUUAAUGAGAAACACUUUGUGCUGUAGAGCUGGAAAUGUUCUGUUUAAGUAAAGUCAUAACUGAUUAUUGUCUAAAAUAGACCUAUGUUAACUGCAGCUUUAAUUAAUAUUUUACUGAAUUUAACAGUUACCUAUGUCAGCUCAGAGUCUGAUUUGUAUUAGAAUUGUUCCAGAUCUUCCAGACUCGCACCGAUCUAGACCCUGCCAGGGCUGAACGUCACGCCCCUGAGACACGCUUGUCCUGCUCUGUUCUCCUCUUUGUCUCAAAGUUUCUCCUGAAUCCAAGACAAGAUUACCAGUUGGAAUCCAUCCAAGUGUCCGGACUCCCUGCUUGCUUGCUCUCACAGCUUGGGACCUGGGAAGUGUGCAGACUGUUUGGGAGUGUCUCCCUGGUGUGCUGGCCCUGGUGCCCUGGGUUCGAUGCCCAGGAACCCUGUACCCAGUGGGCUUUGGAAUGGGCUGCCCUGGUGCCCUUGUCUCUGCCCAGCCACUUGGAAUUGCAAGUCAGGGGUCACUGAUGGCCAAAAGAAUGUACUGCUCAUUUUCCUCAAAUUGUUGCAAGAUCCUGGACCCCCCCAGUCACCUCUGCCCCUGAUGGCCAAGUGUCCUGGGGCUGACGGGCUUUGCAGGAGUGACAACUCAGCGUGCAGUGCUGGACAGAUCCAAUGCUGUCGUGAUCCAGGCAGAGGUGGUGUGCAUUUUUGGAAUAAACACCCCCCAGAAAAGAGGGGAUCACCUGGCAGUUUCGUGCUCCCCAUCUGACUGUUUUUUUUGGUUGCUGGAUUGGAUUUUCAAUCUUUGCAUUGGGAAACAUGCGUUUUUUUUAUUUGCUCUGUUUCACUGGACACAGGCAGACCUGGCUGCUCAGAGAGGACUGGCUCAGUGACAUAAUAGUGACUGUUAUUUCUGAAUUCAAAUUUUUGAGUUAGGGUGAGUGUGAGAGGAGAGGGACAGCAGUGUCUCUAGCAGUGUUUACGGUCCAGUCAGGUGUGACAGAGUGUGUGUGCUGGUGAAUUCAGGGUGAGUGUGAGAGGAGAAGGACAGCAGUGUCUCUAGCAGUGUUUACGGUCCAGUCAGGUGUGACAG